GAGGGCCUAUGGAUUGCCUCAGUAGCGGCGAGUGAGCGGCAAGAGCUCAGAUUUGAAAUCGUGCUUUGCGGCACGAGUUGUAGAUUGCAGGUUGGAGUCUGUGUGGAAGGCGGUGUCCAAGUCCCUUGGAACAGGGCGCCCAGGAGGGUGAGAGCCCCGUGGGAUGCCGGCGGAAGCAGUGAGGCCCUUCUGACGAGUCGAGUUGUUUGGGAAU
rnacentral:rRNA from 1 species